UUGGCAAAUUGAAUGACUCCUUGAAGUAUGUGAUAUUUUUGGAAUAUGUUGUAAAUGCAUUGACGAUAGCCACAGUCUCAGUUCAACUAAUAGCGGUACAGGUUAGUUCAUGGAAUGGAUGAAAGUUUCAGUUUUUCAGAUUUGUAGUUCGACCCAAAACAAAUGACCUAUUCGAUUCCCUUCUUCGGAAUUGUCUUCUCUCAAAGUUUCGUCGUUGGAUGGAGCGCAAAUGAGAUAAAGAUUCAAAGUUCAGCGUUAGCGGACGCAAUCUAUAAAAGUGGGUGGUAUGAACAAAAUGUCCUGGUUCAAAAGAUGUUACUUACUAUGAUGAUGAAAGCUCAUAGACCUUUGGUGCUGACCAUUGGCCCGUUUGGCCCAAUGACUACUCAGUCUGCUGUAGCUAUAGUGAAAGGAUCAUACUCAUACAUCACCGUUAUGAUGAAAAAUUAGAUAUGUGGUGUUCCAUGCCAAACCGGAUCGUUUAAGGAAAAAAGGUGUUUUGGAUUUUAUUAAAUUUUGGUUAGUUAGUUUUGGUACCAAGUAGAGUCAUUCAAGUGCGAAAAGGCACUUCGUUGCACAUUGCACUUGCUUAUAGAUCUUACAGCAUACUGAGAAAUGUAAAUAAUUUGCAAAUGUCAAAAUUAAACUCUCGGUGCAGGAAAAGUUUGGUUUUCUUUUGUAAUAUGAAAAUUUCAUUAUUAAAACUACAAAAAAUAUCUUUUCGAAUACCGAAGAUUCGAGCAAAAUAGUUAAUACAAAUUCAAUAAUUUAAAUAUUAAAUAAUUAAUAAAUUCUUAAGUAUUUUUGACUAAACAUUUCGUCGAAGAGUGGGGGAGAGACGAAGUAUAAAAACCUUUUUCUCUCAAGGUCUUGCAGACUCACAUAUUUUAUUUUUUUUAUUAUUUUUUAUUUUAUAUUUAUUUAUAUAACAAUAUUUUAUAUAACAAGUUUAAUAAACGUUAUUUAGUCACGAGUUUGAUUUGGCAAAAGUCCCUAGUGUUAAUAUAUGAGUGAUUGAAUACAUUUAUCAAGUGUUGCUUAAUUUUUCUACGACUAUUGGUUUUCGGGUGCAUUUUUGCAAAACAGCACUAAUAUAUGUAUUUAGUGAGUCAUGUGUGACGUGACCUUCAGAAAUGACAAACGUCUUUCCAAACAUGACAUCAUUCUGAAAAAUAUACGAUAAUCUCUUCUGGUGGGAAGCAUUUAUGGAUG